rnacentral:rRNA from 1 species
GGAGGAAAAGAAACCAACAGGGAUUGCCUUAGUAACGGCGAGUGAAGCGGCAAAAGCUCAAAUUUGAAAUCUGGCACCUUCGGUGUCCGAGUUGUAAUUUGAAGAAGGUAACUUUGGAGUUGGCUCUUGUCUAUGUUCCUUGGAACAGGACGUCACAGAGGGUGAGAAUCCCGUGCGAUGAGAUGCCCAAUUCUAUGUAAAGUGCUUUCGAAGAGUCGAGUUGUUUGGGAAUGCAGCUCUAAGUGGGUGGUAAAUUCCAUCUAAAGCUAAAUAUUGGCGAGAGACCGAUAGCGAACAAGUACAGUGAUGGAAAGAUGAAAAGAACUUUGAAAAGAGAGUGAAAAAGUACGUGAAAUUGUUGAAAGGGAAGGGCUUGAGAUCAGACUUGGUAUUUUGCGAUCCUUUCCUUCUUGGUUGGGUUCCUCGCAGCUUACUGGGCCAGCAUCGGUUUGGAUGGUAGGAUAAUGACUAAGGAAUGUGGCUCUACUUCGGUGGAGUGUUAUAGCCUUGGUUGAUACUGCCUGUCUAGACCGAGGACUGCGUCUUUUGACUAGGAUGUUGGCAUAAUGAUCUUAAGCCACCCG